CCUACGGGAGGCAGCAGUGAGGAAUAUUGGUCAAUGGACGAGAGUCUGAACCAGCCAAGUCGCGUGAGGGAUGACUGCCCUAUGGGUUGUAAACUUCUUUUAUAUGGGAAUAAAAUGUUCCACGUGUGGGAUUUUGUAUGUACCUUAUGAAUAAGGAUCGGCUAACUCCGUGCCAGCAGCCGCGGUAAUACGGAGGAUCCGAGCGUUAUCCGGAUUUAUUGGGUUUAAAGGGUGCGUAGACGGGUUGUUAAGUCAGCUGUGAAAGUCUGCGGCUCAACCGUAGAAUCGCAAUUGAUACUGGCAGUCUUGAGUACAGGUGAGGUAGGCGGAAUGCGUGGUGUAGCGGUGAAAUGCUUAGAUAUCACGCAGAACUCCGAUUGCGAAGGCAGCUUGCUAAACCGCCACUGACGUUGAUGCUCGAAAGUGUGGGUAUCAAACAGGAUUAGAUACCCGUGUAGUC
rnacentral:rRNA from 1 species